rnacentral:rRNA from 1 species
AACGAACGCUGGCGGCGCGCUUAACACAUGCAAGUCGAACGAGAAGGCGUAGCAAUACGCUUGUACAGUGGCGAACGGGUGAGUAAUACGUGGGCGACCUACCCUCGAGUGGGGAAUAACCCGCCGAAAGGCGGGCUAAUGCCGCGUACGCUUCCAUCUUUAUGGAGGUGGAAGGAAAGCCGUGCCGUGGGCACGGCGCUCAAGGAUGGGCUCACGUCCUAUCAGC